rnacentral:rRNA from 1 species
AUUGAACGCUGGCGGCAGGCCUAACACAUGCAAGUCGAACGAGUGGCGGACGGGUGUGAUAUGUCUGGGAAAUCGCCCGAUGGGGGGGGAUCACUACUGGAAACUGUCGCUAAUACCGCAUCCCCUGGGAUGUGCCCAGGUGGGUUUAGCUAGUAGGUGGGGUAACGGCUCACCUAGGCGACGAUCCCUAGCUGGUCUGAGAGGAUGACCAGCCACACUGGAACUGAGACACGGUCCAGACUCCUACGGGAGGCAGCAGUGGGGAAUAUUGCACAAUGGGCGCAAGCCUGAUGCAGCCAUGCCGCGUGUAUGAAGAAGGCCUUCGGGUUGUAAAGCACUUUCAGCGGGGAGGCGUUACCCGCAGAAGAAGCACCGGCUAACUCCGUGCCAGCCGCCGCGGUAAUUC